AUUGAACGCUGGCGGCAUGCCUUACACAUGCAAGUCGAACGGUAACAGGUCUUCGGAUGCUGACGAGUGGCGAACGGGUGAGUAAUACAUCGGAACGUGCCUAGUAGUGGGGGAUAACUACUCGAAAGAGUGGCUAAUACCGCAUGAGAUCUACGGAUGAAAGCAGGGGAUCGCAAGACCUUGUGCUACUAGAGCGGCCGAUGGCAGAUUAGGUAGUUGGUGGGAUAAAAGCUUACCAAGCCGACGAUCUGUAGCUGGUCUGAGAGGACGAUCAGCCACACUGGGACCGAGACACGGCCCAGACUCCUACGGGAGGCAGCAGUGGGGAAUUUUGGACAAUGGGCGCAAGCCUGAUCCAGCAAUGCCGCGUGCAGGAUGAAGGCCUUCGGGUUGUAAACUGCUUUUGUACGGAACGAAAAGCCCCGGGUUAAUACCCUGGGGUCAUGACGGUACCGUAAGAAUAAGCACCGGCUAACUUCGUGCCAGCCGCCGCAGUAA
rnacentral:rRNA from 1 species